UACGUAGGGGGCAAGCGUUGUCCGGAUUUAUUGGGCGUAAAGAGCGUGUAGGCGGCCAGACAGGUCCGUUGUGAAAACUCGAGGCUCAACCUCGAGAUGUCGAUGGAAACCGUCUGGCUAGAGUCCGGAAGAGGAGUGUGGAAUUCCUGGUGUAGCGGUGAAAUGCGCAGAUAUCAGGAAGAACACCCGUGGCUAAGGCGGCUCUCUAGUACGGUACUGACGCUGAGACGCGAAAGCGU
rnacentral:rRNA from 1 species